rnacentral:rRNA from 1 species
AUUGAACGCUGGCGGCAGGCCUAACACAUGCAAGUCGAACGCCCUAGCAAUAGGGAGUGGCAGACGGGUGAGUAACACGUGGGAACCUUCCCUAUAGUAUGGAAUAGCCCAGGGAAACUUGGAGUAAUACCGUAUACGCCCGAGAGGGGAAAGAUUUAUCGCUAUAGGAUGGGCCCGCGUAGGAUUAGCUAGUUGGUGAGGUAAUGGCUCACCAAGGCGACGAUCCUUAGCUGGUCUGAGAGGACGACCAGCCACACUGGAACUGAGACACGGUCCAGACACCUACGGGUGGCAGCAGUAGGGAAUAUUGCGCAAUGGGCGAAAGCCUGACGCAGCCAUGCCGCGUGGAUGAUGAAGGCCUUCGGGUCGUAAAGUCCUUUUCUGAGGGAAGAACUGCCGGGGGAGGAAAUGCCCUUGGCUUGACGGUACCUCAGGAAUAAGCAACGGCUAACUCCGUGCCAGCAGCCGGGUAAUCAUACUCGUA